rnacentral:rRNA from 1 species
CGCGGCCUAUCAGCUUGUUGGUGAGGUAACGGCUCACCAAGGCAACGACGGGUAGCUGGUCUGAGAGGACGAUCAGCCACACUGGGACUGAGACACGGCCCAGACUCCUACGGGAGGCAGCAGUGGGGAAUCUUGCGCAAUGGGCGAAAGCCUGACGCAGCAACGCCGCGUGGGGGAUGAAGGCUCUCGGGUUGUAAACCCCUUUCAGCAGGGACGAAAAUGACGGUACCUGCAGAAGAAGCCCCGGCCAACUACGUGCCAGCAGCCGCGGUAACACGUAGGGGGCAAGCGUUGUCCGGAAUUAUUGGGCGUAAAGAGCUCGUAGGCGGUUCGGUAAGUCAGGUGUGAAAACUCAGGGCUCAACCCUGAGACUGCACCUGAUACUGCUGUGACUAGAGUCCGGUAGAGGAGUGUGGAAUUCCUGGUGUAGCGGUGAAAUGCGCAGAUAUCAGGAGGAACACCAGCGGCGAAGGCGGCACUCUGGGCCGGAACUGACGCUGAGGAGCGAAAGCGUGGGUAGCGAACAGGAUUAGAUACCCUGGUAGUCCACGCCGUAAACGUUGGGCACUAGGUGUGGGGUCUUAUCAACGGAUUCUGCGCCGUAGCUAACGCAUUAAGUGCCCCGCCUGGGGAGUACGG